CUACGAAUCGAAGCCCCAGUAAACGGCGGCCGUAACUAUAACGGUCCUAAGGUAGCGAAAUUCCUUGUCGGGUAAGUUCCGACCCGCACGAAAGGCGUAACGAUUUGGGCACUGUCUCAACGAGAGACUCGGUGAAAUCAUAGUACCUGUGAAGAUGCAGGUUACCCGCGACAGGACGGAAAGACCCCGUGGAGCUUUACUGUAGCCUGAUAUUGAAAUUCGGCACAGCUUGUACAGGAUAGGUAGGAGCCUUUGAAACGUGAGCGCUAGCUUACGUGGAGGCGCUGGUGGGAUACUACCCUAGCUGUGUUGGCUUUCUAACCCGCACCACUUAUCGUGGUGGGAGACAGUGUCAGGCGGGCAGUUUGACUGGGGCGGUCGCCUCC
rnacentral:rRNA from 1 species